rnacentral:rRNA from 1 species
AGCGAACGCUGGCGGCAGGCUUAACACAUGCAAGUCGAACGCACUCUUCGGAGUGAGUGGCAGACGGGUGAGUAACACGUGGGAACGUGCCCAUCGGUUCGGAAUAAUUCAGGGAAACUUGAGCUAACACCGGAUACGCCCUUACGGGGAAAGGUUUACUGCCGAAGGAUCGGCCCGCGUCUGAUUAGCUAGUUGGUGGGGCAAUGGCCUACCAAGGCGACGAUCAGUAGCUGGUCUGAGAGGAUGAUCAGCCACACUGGGACUGAGACACGGCCCAGACUCCAACGGGAGGCAGCAGUGGGGAAUAUUGGACAAUGGGCGAAAGCCUGAUCCAGCCAUGCCGCGUGAGUGAUGAAGGCCUUAGGGUUGUAAAGCUCUUUUAUCCGGGAAGAUAAUGACUGUACCGGAAGAAUAAGCCCCGGCUAACUUCGUGCCAGCCGCCGCAGUAAAAC